ncrna:unclassified sequences freshwater-2 RNA
UGUGCCGCAAGGCGGACUUAUGCUGCACCACAGCGUAGCCCAUAGAACGGGCAUAGGACUACUUUUUAAAGGAGAAAACAAAUG